AUUGAACGCUGGCGGCAGGCCUAACACAUGCAAGUCGAACGAGUGGCGGACGGGAGAGUAAUGUCUGGGCCACUGCCUGAUGGAGGGGGAUAACUAAUGGAAACGGCAGCUAAUACCGCCUACCUUCGGAUGUGCCCAGAUGGGAUUUGCUAGUGGGUGGGGUAACCGCUCACCUAGGCGACGAUCCGUAGUUGGUCUGUGAGGAUGACCAGCCACACUGGAACUGAGACACGGUCCAGACUCCUACGGGAGGCAGCAGGGGGGAAUAUUGCACAAUGGGCGAAAGCCUGAUGCAGCCAUGCCGCGUGUGUGAAGAAGGCCGUCGGGUUGUAAAGCACUUUCAGCGGGGAGGCGUUACCAGCAGAAGAAGCACCGGCUAACUCCGUGCCAGCAGCCGCGGUAAUUC
rnacentral:rRNA from 1 species